rnacentral:rRNA from 1 species
UACAGAGGUCUCGAGCGUUGGUCGGAUUCAUUGGGCGUAAAGGGUGCGUAGGUGGCGCUGUAAGUCGGGUGUGAAAUCCUGAGGCUUAACCUCGGAACUGCAUUCGAUACUGCGGUGCUUGAGGACUGGAGAGGAGACUGGAAUUCAUGGUGUAGCAGUGAAAUGCGUAGAGAUCAUGAGGAAGACCAGUGGCGAAGGCGGGUCUCUGGACAGUUCCUGACACUGAGGCACGAAGGCCAGGGGAGCAAACGGG